GUUCGCAGAGUGCAGUCACACUGGAAGCUCAGUUUAUAAAUUCAGCAAACAUCAAAAACUCGAACGCCAAAGAAAUCUAAUUUAAAGAUUGUGAAUGAUAUUGUUUUUUGUUUUGUAUUUUUUUCACAACAGCCACAUAGCUAACGAUACACGCGAUAGUGCAUUCAAAGCAAAUCCAUUGCCGCUUAGCAAAUACCAAUUGAAAACUUACUCCAACCAGAAAACGAAUCGUGUGUGUGUGUUUGUAUGUAUGUGUGUGCCAGUGUCUGCGGACAAACCGAAGAAGUGACGUUUACAGCAAAUAAAAGUCGGUCUCGUCAAAAUUUGAAGUGAAAUUAAAUAAAAAGUCGUCAUCGUCGUUGUCCAGCAAUUACAACUCUUUCAUGGCAGUUUAAUGCACGUCUGAUUGGAACGACGACGUCGCUUCGCUCGUCGUCUUCGCCUGAAAAAUUCGCCAUCUUCGCUUAGAAUACCAAUAAGAAGCAAUAACGUGCGAAACGAAACGAGAGCCGCGACGAUGAGCUGAGCUGAGCUGAGCCUAGCUAUGCAUUCAGAGAGCUAUCGUUGAGAUCAGCCCGCGGGGAUAACUGCUCAAGGACCAACAGCAACAACAGCAACAACAUCAUCAUCAACAACAACAUCAUCAUCAACAACAACAACAACAACCACAACUUCAACAACUUUGUGUCUGCCAAAAAGAGAACUAAAACAGCAACCAUAAAGAGAGUGUAAGAGAGAGAGUGAGAGUGAGAGAGAGAGCACGCUCGCAUCUUCAAUAGAGUUUGUUGUGGCAGCCCCGUCAUAUAGAGAUGACACUGACCGCAACGGCAACGCCACCGGAGAGCAACAAGAAAAUGGAAGUGAAUGCCCCAGCAGACGAGAAUCUGCCCACAUCUGAAAUGGAUCUGCUAGCCAAGCUGGAGGCGGCCAACAAGCUAAUCGAGAGCGAUGCCAAAAGCCUCAACUCGCUGCACUCAACGCACAGUCGCAAGAACUCGGACACGAGCCAAAUCAGUCUGACAUCAAGCGGCAAUUCGGUCGCCGAGGAGGACAUCUGGACGACAUGGGCAUCCAUUCUGAACGACUGGGAUGGCGCGCUGAAGCGCAAGAAUCCCUGCGUGCGCGAGCUGGUGCGCCGUGGUAUUCCGCAUCAUUUUCGUGCCAUCGUGUGGCAGCAGCUGAGCGGCGCCGCCGACGCCGAUAAGAAACAGUAUGCGGAGUACAUAAAGGCGACAUCGGCGUGCGAGAAGGUGAUUCGGCGUGAUAUAGCGCGCACCUAUCCGGAGGUGGACUUCUUCAAGGAGAAGGACGGGCCCGGCCAGGAGGCGCUGUUCAAUGUGAUCAAAGCGUAUUCGCUGCACGAUCGUGAGGUCGGCUACUGCCAGGGCUCUGGCUUCAUUGUGGGCCUGCUGCUGAUGCAGAUGCCCGAGGAGGAGGCGUUCGCAGUGCUCGUGCAGAUCAUGCAGCAGCAUCGCAUGCGGCACAUGUUCAAGCCAUCGAUGUCCGAGCUGGGCCUGUGCAUGUACCAGCUGGAGAAUCUGGUGCAGGAGCAGAUACCCGAUAUGCACCUACAUUUCCAGCAGCAGGGCUUCCAGACGACCAUGUACGCGUCCAGCUGGUUCCUAACGCUCUACACGACCACACUGAACGUGAACCUCAGCUGCCGCAUUAUGGAUGUCUUCCUCAGCGAGGGCAUGGAGUUCAUUUUCAAGGUGGCGCUGGCCCUGCUGCUCACCGGCAAGGAGUCGCUGCUGUCCCUCGACAUGGAGGCCAUGCUGAAGUUCUUUCAGAAGGAGCUGCCCGGCCGCGUCGAGGCCGAUCCGGAGGGCUUCUUCAACUUGGCCUAUGCGCAGAAACUGAACACGAAGCGCAUGAAGAAAAUGGAGAAAGAGUAUCAAGACUUGAAGAAAAAGGAGCAGGAGGAGAUGGUCGAGCUGCGACGGCUGCGCCGCGAGAAUUGUCUGCUCAAGCAGCGCAACGAGCUGCUCGAGGCCGAGAGUGCCGAGCUGGCCGAUCGUCUGGUGCGCGGCCAGGUCUCACGUGCCGAAGAGGAGGAGACGAGCUAUGCCAUUCAAACGGAGCUGAUGCAGCUGCGACGCUCCUAUCUGGAGGUCUCGCAUCAGCUGGAGAAUGCCAACGAGGAGGUGCGCGGCCUCAGCCUGCGGCUACAGGAGAAUAACGUUUCGAUCGAUAGCAAUAACUCGCGGCAAUCGUCGAUCGACGAGCUGUGCAUGAAGGAGGAGGCGUUGAAGCAGCGCGACGAGAUGGUCUCCUGUUUGCUGGAGGAGCUGGUCAAGGUGCGGCAGGGCUCGGCCGAGAGUGAGGAUCAGAUACGAACUCUCAAGUCGAAGAUCGAGGAGCUCGAGGAGGAUAAGAAGACGCUGCGCGAAACAACGCCCGACAAUUCGGUGGCCCAUCUGCAGGACGAGUUGAUAGCGAGCAAGUUGCGCGAGGCGGAGGCCUCGCUAUCCCUCAAGGAUCUCAAGCAGCGCGUGCAGGAGCUGAGCAGCCAAUGGCAGCGUCAGCUGGCCGAGAAUCAGCGCAACGAGCAUAGCGCCGCCUCCGUGGACUCCACACCCAAAAAGCUGUUGACCAACUUUUUCGACAACUCCAAGUCGACGGAGCACACACAGAAGCUCGAGGAGGAGCUAAUGACGACGCGCAUACGUGAAAUGGAAACGCUCACCGAGCUGAAGGAGCUGCGGCUGAAGGUCAUGGAGCUGGAGACUCAGGUGCAGGUCUCCACAAAUCAGCUGCGCCGUCAGGACGAGGAGCAGAAGAAGCUCAAGGAGGAGCUCGAGCUGGCUGUCACACGCGAAAAGGAAUUGGCCAACAAGGCGCGCGAGCAGCAGCACAGAUACUCGGAUCUGGAAUCUCGCAUGAAGGAUGAGCUCAUGAAUGUCAAAAUCAAGUUCACCGAACAGAGCCAAACGGUCGCCGAGCUGAAGCAGGAGAUUUCACGACUGGAGACAAAGAAUUCGGAAAUGCUUGCCGAGGGUGAACUGCGCGCCAAUCUCGAUGAUUCGGAUAAGGUGCGCGACCUGCAGGACAGGUUGGCUGACAUGAAGGCGGAGUAUCCAACGCCUAUAACCAGCCCCGACACUGAGCCGUGGAAGUGGAUAAGCUAAGCUAAUCGAAUAUAUAUAAAGUGCUAACCAAAACUAAAACUAAACCAAAAACAAAUAUUCAGCAAAGCAUCGUCGUCAAAUACCAAAAGCAUCUACCCCCACAUUCCAGUUAAAACCCAAAUCGACCUCAACACUUUAACAGCCAACGACCAAAUGUGCAAAUCAGUUGACCGCACUGAAAAGUCGUGGCAAAUUUCCAGCCCACAAGCUGCGCAGCGCCUCCAUACAAUCCAUCGAAUCAACAGAGAUCG